rnacentral:rRNA from 1 species
AUUGAACGCUGGCGGCAUGCUUUACACAUGCAAGUCGAACGGCAGCGCGGGCUUCGGCCUGGCGGCGAGUGGCGAACGGGUGAGUAAUACAUCGGAACGUGCCCAGUAGUGGGGGAUAGCUCGGCGAAAGCCGGAUUAAUACCGCAUACGACCUGAGGGUGAAAGCGGGGGAUCUUCGGACCUCGCGCUAUUGGAGCGGCCGAUGGCAGGUUAGCUAGUUGGUGGGGUAAAGGCCUACCAAGGCGACGAUCUGUAGCUGGUCUGAGAGGACGACCAGCCACACUGGGACUGAGACACGGCCCAGACUCCUACGGGAGGCAGCAGUGGGGAAUUUUGGACAAGGGGCGAAAGCCUGAUCCAGCAAUGCCGCGUGUGUGAUGAAGGCCUUCGGGUUGUAAAGCACUUUUGGCGGGAACGAAAAGGACUGUGCCAAUACCACGGUUCGAUGACGGUACCCGCAGAAUAAGCGCCGGCUAACUACGUG